UGGAAAAUGACAAUGUUGCUUCUAAGCAUCUUGGCCCUGUUACUUGGGCUUGUGAUCCUCACUCUUAACAUCUACCAGAACAGAGGAGAAAGAAGACUGGUGGUGCUGAAAUCCUACACUCCGACAGGAGAGAGCAGUUUUCCUGGGUCCCCGGUGCCUAGUGAGAGAGCUCCUCUAACCCGACACCUUAUAAAAACUUCUCAGCCUCCCUCCAUCCAGCGAGGUGAGAUCCUUGUUGAAUGGAAAGAUGGAACAGUCAACCCACUCUUUGAAACGUAUCUAACUGACUAAGAGGUGUCUUGUAGAUGAAAAGGUUUUGAGUAACUUGUUCAUUGGUAACUUGCACAAUGCAUUGGUGGCUUUAUUCUGAUUAAUUGUUUGUUUAAAACAAUUGCUUUAUUCAGAUUAAUCAAAUUGUUUAAAAACAAAUUAAUUGUAAUUCAGCAAUACUUUUUCUAAAUAAUGACCCAUGUCCAGGUAAUCAUUGCCAAUUUCAUGAUCAAUUUCUGUGUAAUUAUUUAUUUGAUAUGUAGCUGUGGAAUGAGUGGGAUAAAAUUAUUGCAAGAAAAUAAAGAUACAAUCACAUA